UCAUUAUUUGUGCAAGAUGACUCUGUAUGUUGUAAUGCAUGCACUAUUUGUCUGGUGGUGGACUAUGAUUUAUGUUGAUUUCUUCCUUCACCCUUGUAAAUUGCUAAUGAUCUGUCAAUGACCGGUUAAUUCCCGCUGUAUUUACUUCUGUGAGAUAGCUAUUCUGUAAGGAGAGACUCCUUGGGAUUUAAUCAGAGUUGUCGAAAUUUUGUCCAUAUAUUACUGUAUGUCACCUUCUGUAUUGCAGUUGAUGACCCCCCACCCCCCAAACAAGAAGAACAAAGAAGAAAAGGGGGGAAAGAAAGAAAAAUGGAAAUCGUGUGCACAUGCGCAGUCAGAUUCUAUGGAAAAGCAUUUUAGUUUCUGUAGGAGAGUGGAAACUUCGGGCGGCCCCUACUGGAUGCCACUUUGUUACAGAGUCAUAUGUGAAGCAGAAAGUCAGUUUCCUCUUUGGGCCUUAGCUUCUUUUGCCAAUGGUCCAUGACCAUGCACAUAAAGACUGAUCUUAUAGUUAUUCCCAAGAUAUGGAAGUUCGGCACCAAACUAUGACAGGAGACAUCAAAACUAACAUUUACUUACUAUGGGACGAUGAUAUUAUCUUACGUUUCUAGAUCUCUCUCCCGUCACAGGUCUCUCUCAAGAAGUCAUCACAACACUCACCAUGGUUUCUUGGACAACGACACAGAAACCACGAGAUUUACAUUAUCUUGACAGGGAUGUCUCUGUUUCACAUUUACGUGUUGUCGGGACAAGGAAUUCUUUUUGUUUUUCAUUUUUCUUUAUUGGGUUUAGAUGGCAGUGUGUUUAUGUAGGGGCCUGGGGUAUUUGAACAGGGUGGCAUUGGCACAAAAUAAAAUGGGAAAGUAGUGGAUGUGUUAGAAGACUGUCUGACAUUGUAGGAGACACUGAAAAAGUUACCUAUCAGUUCCUCCUGUCGUUGGAGUCUUUGAUCCCAGCAUCACAAGGCUUCAUGCUACAUCACUUCCUAGAAUUAUUGCCACCUUAGCCUGUCAGCAACUACACUACUCUUCCAUUACAUAAAUACGUAGGUUGUACAUACUUGGGUACUACACAUGAUUCACCCUAUACCAUACUGUCCAAUACUAUGCAUGGUCUCAUAAAGCUACAUAUGUAAUAAAAUACCUCAGCAUGUGUGCUGCUGAUGUGCUAGACUUACUUCCCACAUGUGUAAGCUGAUAUUCAAAACGCAAUGUACUUGAAGAUAGGCCUGUGCUAAGACAGACAUGUACUUGAAGUUCCGCGCGUCGCAUCACAAGUAUAUAUUCAAUGUAUAUAUGUAUUGCUUCCACGUAUAUAUAGAUACAUAAAUACUGAUGUAUGUAUCAUGAU